UCGUUCCAAUUUUAUCGAAUUCGAUAAAAUUGGAACGAUACAAAGAAGAUUAGCAUGGCCCCUGUGCAAGGAUGCAGAUGUAACCCUCAUAUUU
rnacentral:snRNA from 1 species